rnacentral:rRNA from 1 species
GAUGAACGCUGGCGGCGUGCUUAGCACAUGCAAGUCGAGCGGGCAAUUUAUCUAGCACUGAUUACUUCAAAUGGCUAUCGCCAGUGUAAUCAUGAAUUUCUACCUUUAAUAAAGAAAAAAGAAAUUCAUGUACGCAAAUAGUGAUAACACAUUUUAGUGGAGUGAUGAGUGCUGGAUAAAUUGCUAGCGGCGGACGGGUGCGUAACACGUGGGUAACCUGCCCCUAUCACUGGGAUAACACACUGAAAAGUGUGCUAAUACCAGAUAACAUAAGCUUUUGGCAUCAUUAGCUUAUCAAAGAAUUUCGGAUAGGGAUGGGCCCGCGUCUGAUUAGCUAGUUGGUGAGGUAACGGCUCACCAAGGCAACGAUCAGUAGCCGACCUGAGAGGGUAAUCGGCCACAUUGGAACUGAGACACGGUCCAAACUCCUACGGGAGGCAGCAGUGGGGAAUAUUGCAC